GCCAGUCAGUCGCCUUUGAUUAUCAGUCUCCAGCAGCCCCUCUCUUGGCUCCUUGACAUGAGCACCAUAUAAGGCGCAGCGAUCUCCAUAGAAACGUGUCAGUUUCAAUAGUAGUGUCAAAGUUCACUAUAUACAGACAUUCGCGCAGAUCCCCCCGUUUCGGAAACAUUGCUCUGCAGCUCCUCUUCCUUUAAAGCAUUUUUGGAGCCUCUCUCUUCUUUUUCUUCUUGCAUAUUCUACUAGUUGUUUUUUUUUCUUCCUCCUUCUGCUGCUGCUGUGAUAUCUUUUCUCCGUUGCUCCAGCUGGAGGAGAGGUGAAAGUCUUGAACGGUGUGGACUCUAUUCGCUCUGCGAGAAGGUGAUGAUGAAGAUGAUGAUGAGCUUUAUUUAAGAAUACAGACGCGGCAAAUCUGCAGUUUUUUGUGUGUGUGUUCGCUCCGCUGUCCGCACGGCGACUGGUGGAAAAGGAGAAAGGAAUUUAUCCACCGCAGCACUUUGGAUCCAGCGUCUUUUCACCACAAGAAGGGUUUUUUUUUUAUUUAUUUAAAUACUCGCUCAUGUGAAUUGCUUUCCUUUGUGGCUUUUUUUUCUAUCAAAGUGCAGCUUUUCCCCCCAACACGUCUGGACUCGCCUUUUCCUACAAGAUUGGGGAUUCCUGAAUGGCUCAGUGCAAUUUACCUUGGAACUGGCCUCCCGAUACUUGCAUAUCGUGAUCGGGUCGUCCCCUCCAGCCGUCCCCCUCUAUUUUGAAUGUAUCGAUCCACCUCCUCCUCUAUGAGAUUCCGUGCACCGAUUUGACUUUGCAUCCAUCUUGCAAAAAAACCCCUUUUUCUCCCAUCCACGCUCCAGACCAGCAGCGAUCAUUUCGCUCUACAGCACUUUCCGUGGCCGAGAUAUGGCAAUGGUAGUUAGCGUCUGGCGAGAUCCGCAGGAAGACGUGGCCGGAGGACCUCCGAGCGGCCCCAACCCAGCAGCUCAGCCGGCGAGGGAGCAGCAGCAGGCGGCGUCGGCGGCGCCUCACACCCCGCAGACCCCCAGCCAGCCGGGACCUCCGUCCACGCCGGGCACGGCGGGGGACAAGGGCAGCCAGAACUCGGGGCAGAGCCAGCAGCACAUCGAAUGCGUGGUGUGCGGGGACAAGUCUAGCGGCAAACACUAUGGCCAGUUCACCUGCGAGGGGUGCAAAAGUUUCUUCAAGCGGAGUGUACGCAGGAACUUAACGUACUCAUGUCGCGCCAAUAGGAACUGUCCCAUCGACCAGCACCACCGGAACCAAUGCCAGUACUGCCGCCUCAAGAAGUGCUUAAAAGUGGGCAUGCGGCGGGAAGCGGUUCAGCGAGGACGAAUGCCUCCAACCCAGCCCAACCCAGGCCAGUACGCGCUGACCAACGGGGACCCUCUCAACGGCCAUUGCUAUCUCUCCGGAUACAUCUCGUUAUUGCUGCGGGCUGAGCCCUACCCCACGUCCCGGUACGGGAGCCAGUGCAUGCAGCCCAACAAUAUCAUGGGCAUCGAGAACAUCUGCGAGCUGGCGGCUCGGUUGCUCUUCAGCGCCGUGGAGUGGGCCAGAAACAUCCCUUUCUUUCCCGACCUGCAGAUCACCGACCAGGUGUCCCUUCUCAGGCUGACGUGGAGCGAGUUGUUUGUUCUUAAUGCCGCCCAGUGCUCCAUGCCCCUGCAUGUGGCCCCUCUGCUCGCCGCGGCUGGCCUGCACGCCUCGCCCAUGUCCGCGGACCGCGUCGUGGCUUUCAUGGACCACAUCCGGAUCUUCCAGGAGCAAGUGGAGAAGCUCAAGACCCUGCACGUAGACUCUGCAGAGUACAGCUGCCUCAAGGCCAUCGUGCUUUUCACGUCAGACGCCUGCGGCCUCUCGGACGCUGCCCACAUCGAGAGCCUGCAGGAGAAGUCCCAAUGCGCCCUGGAGGAGUACGUGAGGAGCCAGUAUCCGAACCAGCCCAGCCGCUUUGGCAAGCUCCUUCUGCGGCUGCCCUCCCUCCGCACCGUGUCCUCGUCGGUAAUCGAGCAGCUCUUCUUCGUCCGCUUGGUAGGUAAAACUCCUAUUGAAACCCUCAUCAGGGAUAUGCUAUUAUCCGGGAGCAGCUUCAACUGGCCUUACAUGUCCAUCCAAUGAUCCUUAUAUGACAAAAAAGAGGAAAAGGACCAAAAUUCAGCACCCAUCCUCCUCUAUGAAGACUAUAUUAAGACUUUUUCUCACAAGUUUGGAAGACUUUUGCCCCCCCCCGGUCCCCCUCCCCCUCCCCUGCAGUCUUCUGGGACUGAGAUGGAAUAUGUACAGAAAAAUAUUGGAACUGGACUUUACACCUGUGUAAAUCCACCCUCAUCUUCAAGAACAAUACUCGUCAUUUUGUAAAAUACUAGUCUUUAUUUUCCUUUUUUGUAAAAAAAAAAAAAUUACAAAUAAAAUGAAAAACAUCGUAUGCGCAGUAAGAAAAAAAGAAUCAAGACUUAGCGGGAAAUAAUGUUUCCAAGCAAUUAUAAGAAUUUGUCCUGUGUCUAUGUACCUCUCUGUUUUGUAUUUUUUCUGGUUCUAAACCAGGCUUUCUGUGAUUCUAUACUAAUAAUUUUUGAUAUAACCUUUUGCUUCUUAUAAUGAGUGCGGUAUAUGUUGUCGAAGCUAUGUUCUCCAAGAAUUAAAAUUGAAGUGAGAAUUUAAAAAAAAGAGAAAAACCAGGAAAAAAAAUAAAGAAAUUUAGACAAUAAGAAACAAGUCUAAUCGCUAUGACAAUAUCACCACUGAUGGUUGAACUUUUUUUUGGUUAUUUUUUCCAACACAAUGGACCUGCAACCACAAACUGACCCCUUCCCACCCAGCCCACCCCUCCCCAGGACAUUUUUACUGAGAGGACAUCUGGGGAACCCCCACACCCACCCACCCACCUUACAUCCACCACCUCCCCUCCUUCGGCCAUGAGUGCGAUCAUCAGUCAAAGAGGAGAGACAUGAAAAAUCAAAAAAGCACUUUUAAUAUAUCAUUUCAAAUACAUUUUUUGUUUGUUUCGUCUUUGAAGAAAAACAUUGUUUCUUGAAUUUUAUUGGUUGUUGCCUUCAAUUUGCUUACUCCAUGAUGCAGCUUUUUUUUUUUUUUGCAGAAAGGCUCGGUUGAUGAUGAAGUUGUGUGAUGGUGACUGUACUAUUAAAAGACAAAUAGGCAACGAUGUCUCGUUCUCAAGAAUUUUCCUACACUUAUUUGUUCAACAAUUUGUCUUGAAUGCAGCCUGGUAUCGCAAUGGUACACCACUACAACUAAAAUACUAUUGAUAAAAUAACAUUGGUAUUAAAGUACUACAAAACACAUCCGAACUUUAUUGGUGAUUCUGCAGCUCCCUGUUUAAAAACCACAGCCUUGAUCUUGCAUGCUUUAAUAUUGACGUGGGCGUCUCUUGGCAAAAAAAAAAAAAAACACAAAAAAAAGGUUUUGGCCCUGCUGCAAAGCUGCUGUGAUAUGCGUGAUCAAUGUGGAAAAUGUAUUUUACAGCAUGUAAGCCAGUCGAUAGGGAGGUGGGAGGGGUGAUGAUGUUGCAUUGUGUGGGAAUAGAGACGAAGAUGGAGUGUAUGUGCGUGUACGUGUGUGUGUUGUACAAAAUGCAUGGGCUCCGUAUAGAGGUGUGUGUGUGUGUCUCCUUAUUGUGGACAAAAGACAAGGAGUCUGUCAAGACUGCAUUGCAGGUCCAAGUUACAAAUCGCAUUGGAAAGUAGCAAAAAGCAGAUUUGGUGUGGCAUUUGUGACCUUUGCCUGUUAGCACCAUGCAGCAGCUCCUUAACCAUUGGAUUUGUUGCUUAUGUUUGUGACGACAGGAGGACACGUGAAUGCAUCACGGUGUAAUGUAUAAACAGUGUGUCAUCUUCUUGCAAUCAGAGGGAGGAGUCAUCACUUUAUAUGUGUGCAUUGGUCGUCUUAUUCCACAUAAGGCGUGCACAUGUAUGUGUUGAUGCUUUCUUCAUAAGCCUUAUCCUCGGUUGCACCCUCACAUGGACACACUGUGUGUGUGUGACGCCAUCAUGACCUAUUGGGCGUAUUAGGGGACCUGUGUGUGGCUGUGGGUGAAGCUUAUUGGUGGUGUGACAUUUCUGCAGGUUGGAUACCUUUUAGUUUUAGCUUGUUCAUUCGGGUUCGGCUUUUGGGGUGAUUUAUUGCAUAAAAAAUAGAAUGUAGCCCUAAAUGAAUGCUCAAAAAUACAGUGGCGUUAUUCCUGUUGGAUUGCAUGUGGGACUAAAUGUUUGUUUGGCCUGAAAAGAAGCUUGACAAGAGCCCAUGCAGGCAGGUCGUUGUCGUUUUAUGUAGCUGUGCACUAAAUGGUUUGCUGGGUUAUUAAACGCAGCGUACAGCUGCUUGUCUGACACAUAAUGUAUUCUAAAUCCCUCCAGAGUAUAACCAUCUUUUAUCCUCUCGCUGAGAGCAUUUUGUUGUACAAUUGUUACACUACGGGCUAUAUAAAGCGAGCUGCAGAUGAAAUAGUGGCAUGUGUUGCUAAUUAACGUUUUUGUAUGGACAAAACACACCAGGAUUCGAGGAAAACGAUUAAAAUGUCUUUGACGUCACGCAUGUGCUAUAUUUAAAAACACGUCAAUCAUCGUUACAUGUUGCUAUCGAUACCAAAAAAUGCAAUUAGAUCAAAUAAAUGUGCAGGUCCACUUUAGGCAAGUCUAGGAAGCUGUGGUUAAGAAGUGUUAAUCCAGAAAAAAAGUUAACCAAGCAGUUAGCUUUGUCUGCUUUCAUUCAUCAAACCACAAGUGGAGGACUCCCAGCACCAGGGACUAUUUGUUUGCUUUUUACGCAAGCAGCUGGGUGCGAUUUCACGUUUGAGGUGAGUGUCUGAAAGAGGAACAUUUAUUAUCCCAAUAUGUCAGCGCGGCGGACCCAGGACGUCUUCCUCUCCGUUAUAUGUCAUUUCUCAGCUCACUUUUGAAGCAUUUUUACACACAAGACGCAAUAACCAUUUUACCUUGAUGGCACGAGAUUACUUCCCAUACUGUCUGAAUAAACGUGACAACAAAUACACCUUUUUUGCAAGAACAAUGCCAUAUCAAAUAGUGUGUGGCGAGAUGUUGAGGACAAAAAUGUCUUGAAAACAUACUAUUUAAUCAUAUGUGUGGUAUAUUUCAGAAUGUCCCUGAAGGCCACACAAAGGACCACCCCUAUAAACCGUGUGCGCGUGCGUGUGUUAACGUUUGGCCAGGUUGCCACAACAACCUGGCGAGGCUUUCUUUUCAAUAUAUUUUUUUAUAUAUAAGGUUAUUUCUUGACGAGCGUGUGUGUGCAAGCCCGUGCGUAAAAGCGCACACUCACCACCAUGCAGCCUGGAUGUAUGCGUGUGUCUGUGUGUGCGUGCGCGCGCGCACAGAGAGAGCAGAUUGCUGUGUAAGCGGAUCCUUUUGUGUUGAUUUAGGAAGACGUUUGCUGUAUAUAACGUUCAAGGCUGAUAAUAUCAUUGCCUGGCCAGAUAAAUAAAGCAUUGGCCAAACCAUCGGGUCAGCUAUCGAUCCGCUUUCUCUCCCCGAGAGAGGCGGAGGAUAGUGGGAGAAAGGGGGAGAAAGAGAGAGAGAGAGAGAGCCCACUCAUUAGCAUUCCACAGCCAUGGACUAAACGCUGACAACUAACAGAGAUAUCCAGCUUCACACCGCUGCAUGCACUCCCUCUUUGUCCUCUCCCCUCCUGGCCCUUCAUUUCUCUCUCUCAUCACAGCCAACACUCUUUCUUUUCCUCCUCCCCUCUAUCCUCUCUCUUCUCCUUUUUUGCACCAAUGGGCCCCGUGCACAAGAGCCAGAACCUCCCAGAAGAAGAAAAAAUGAGGAGGAGGAGAGGAAUGAGAAGGAGGGGUGAUGUUGUAAAAGCUGUGCAGAAGUGACAGCGCUAAGCGCAGCGGAUUUAGUCAGGACAGAUACAAUUGUGUGUGUGACUUGACAAAAUAGAAGGCGGGAGACGUUUUGAAUUGAAGCUGCCAUUGUGGGUUGUUUUAAAGCACUCCCACCCAAAAAAAUAAAUAAAAAAGAGAAGGGACUUUUAACCGGUCUGUUUACUUCAGGAUUGACAACUUUGACGUCCAUUGGGUGGGAAAACUGAUGCGUAAUAGUGCAAGUAUAAUCACAUGUUGGAUGGGUAUAUUGAAAGAAUUAUCCUGUUUAGGAAUCACUAAUUAGAAGCGUAAAUGUAUCACUUAGAACAUACAUAGAACACUAGAGCAUACAAUGUAAAACGUGUGUUAUCUGUACAAUUAAGAUGACAUGCUUAUGUUGAAUGAGAUGACAAACUGCCCCCCUCAUCCACCUAUGCAUUAUUUGAAUGUUAACAAAUGCUUUACAUAUGUUUGCAUGAGUGAUACCGUAAUACGUGCGGCAACAAUGACAGCUGUUCAUCUCACAUAGUAACUUCUUUCCAAAGUUUGCACCCCCCCCCCGCCCCCCACACACACCCCGAGCCCCCACCCACACCUCCUCCUGCAGUGUCUGUCCUGCUUUGUUGCUUUUAAAAUAUGCAUGUCUCUCCGGAAUGCCAGUCACGAGUCUAAACUGUGUGUCCCAACCUCCCACAUGAUGAAAUGACCCCCCCCCCCCCCCCUCAUUCUCCCCCCUCCUUUUUCUUUAAGCGGGCUCAAAAUGUCUCAAUCUUGCACUCUUCAUCUUCUUCUCGUUUGAGAACUAUAGGGUGCUGGAUACAGACCCCUUAUAACAAUCAUAAUAUUAUGAAUAAUAUUAAUAAAGGACAGAAAACAAGGCAAGCGGUGGAUGGGUGGAGAUUUCUUGCAGGAGAAAAUGGCGCCCUGCCUUAGGGGACCCUCUCUGACACUGGAGCCGCGCAGCACAGCUCUCGUCUCUGCAUGGACCUUCCCUUCUUUCUUUUUUGAAUCCUUUUUAUUUUUAAUGCAUCUGAACGUGAAUGCUGGGAACCUGUACAGGAUUUUAUUCACACUUUUUUGUAUUUUGUAAAAAUUGCUUUAGUGCAAAGACACAAAUAAAAAUAGCGAUGUGAUUGAUUUUAAUGUGAACUGCUGGAUUUCCUUGUUUGUUCUUUUAAAAAUAUUUUACAAUUUCAACUCAUCGUACGUUAAUUACGUAAUAAAAUUUAAACGGGUGUUAUUUUUUUUAAAUAAACGGAAGCCUAUUCAUGUGCGACAGGUAGAUUUCCACAUGGGAAAAUCUACUAAUGUGACUGCAAUUCUAAACAAUCUUACGCAUGUACUAAUAUGUUUAAUGUCUGUUCAAGCGACAUUCAAUAUUUCAUUCCCCUUUUUAAUGAACGAAUAAUCAUUAAAUGUGCAACAACAGUGUAUUUGUGACUCGGUUUGUUUAAAUGUCCUCCCCCCACCUCCACACACAGAAAAUACAAAUACACUGCAACACUUUCACUAAAUAGCACCUUGUCGGUGUGUGACGUUGAUGGAUGUGUUGGAGACUUCCAGAACCUUCUAAAGCUCUGUUUAAAAAAAAUAAAUAAUAAAAAAAAACCCACGGCAAACAGAUUAGGUGCAAGGAGCAGGCUUUGAUAAAGAAACGUAUAUUUCUGUGGAAAGCGAUGCAAUAAAAGAAAUCAUUUUUGUAUUUUAUAUUGAAUGCCUGCUGUGCACAACACCACGUGCACUCACACAAAUAGAUAUACAUAUUUCUUUCAAAAUAUAUAUGCUUUUAAGAAGACCAUCAUGCUGCGUUUUGCAUUGUUAGUAUUGAAUUGCUAUUUAUAACAUUAACAUUAACAUUAUUUAUAACAUUAUAUUCAUUAAUAUCAUUUAACUGCACUGCAUCGUACUGGCCAAAAUGUUACAAAUAGCUUUGAAUACGAUGCAGUGCAUUUUUACACAACCUUAAUAGACAUAAUCAAAAGUAACAAUACAUAAAUAAAUACAUUUAGUAUGAUCGAUAUGCGCAGGUGUACCUAAUGACGUGUCCAUUGCAUUGCACAUGUCUCAGUGUGCUGUGCAUUCUUGGACAAUGUGGUCAUCUCAAGAGAAACCUAGUGUGUUUUUAUGAGGGUGACAUUGUCUUUAGCUUGUGGUUUAAAAGUUCUAUAAUGAUUCCCAACUGGAAGCCAUCAGCUAUGUUCCAUCAUAUUCCCUUUUCCCUCUUUUACAAGAGCAGACAUGCAGAGCCAGAGAAGAAAUGUCUUCUCAUGUGGCUCGCCAAUGUGGGCUGUGAAUGUUUUUUGGCUUCCUCCUCUCCUGUGGUGUCAUAGUCUCAAAUGAAGACGUUCAAAUCUCCAUGAAAGUGUUAUUAUUAUAAGGCAAAUGAAGCUUUGUGGGUUUUUGGAGUUUGCAUGCUUAAUUUGGUAAUUGAGCGUAAUGAUAUGUUGGGAAAUACGUGUU